UACGUAGGGGGCUAGCGUUGUCCGGAUUUAUUGGGCGUAAAGAGCGUGUAGGCGGCCAGGUAGGUCUGGUGUGAAAACUCGAGGCUCAACCUCGAGACGUCGGUGGAAACCAUCUGGCUAGAGUCCGGAAGAGGAGAGUGGAAUUCCCGGUGUAGCGGUGAAAUGCGCAGAUAUCGGGAAGAACACCCGUGGCGAAGGCGGCUCUCUGGGACGGUACUGACGCUGAGACGCGAAAGCGUGGGGAGCGAACAGG
rnacentral:rRNA from 1 species